GCGCAUUUUAGGCACACCCGUCAGGAAGCAUCAUUCAGUGACUGACAACAAACAUGCUGGUUGUUUGUCAGUGACACAGGAAGCCUGCCUUUGUCCAUUUGGAGAAGUUGGGUGCGGUCCUAUGUGACGCAGAUGUGUGUCUUUGUCCAUUUGGAGAAGUUGGGUGCGGUCCUAUGUGACGCAGAUGUGUGCCUUUGUCCAUUUGGACAAGUUGGGUGCGAUUCUGUGUGACGCUGGAUGUGUGUCUUUUUCCAUUUGGACAAGUUGGGUGCGAUUCUGUGUCACGCUGGAUGUGUGUUUUUUUCCAUUUGGACAAGUUGGGUGCAAUCCUGUGUCACCCACACCUUGAUUCAUAACUCCUGUCUUACAGUGAAAGUAACCCACCCCAAGUUUGACGUUGGCAACCGACGCAUCACUUGACGCGUCAGUAAGCAUCAUUCAGUGACUAACAACAAACAUGCUGGUAGUUUGUCAGUGACACAGGAAGCCUGCCUUUGUCCAUUUGGAGAAGUUGGGUGCGGUCCUAUGUGACGCAGAUGUGUGUCUUUGUCCAUUUGGAGAAGUUGGGUGCGGUCCUAUGUGAUGCAGAUGUGUGCCUUUGUCUAUUUGGACAAGUUGGGUGCGAUUCUGUGUGACGCUGGAUGUGUGUCUUUUUCCAUUUGGACAAGUUGGGUGCGAUUCUGUGUGACGCUGGAUGUGUGUUUUUUUCCAUUUGGACAAGCUGGGUGCAAUCCUGUGUCACUCACACCUUGAUUCAUAACUCCUGUCUUACAGUGAAAGUAAAACGGUAGGCCUACAGGUGAAGCCAACAACAAGAAUGAAGCUUCUAGUUCAUCAAAUUUGGAUACUUUUUUCCGCUGUCUUUGCAUGUAGCAAUUUUUUCAAUUUCCUUUGUGUGUUGUAUGAAUGUCUUUACAUGUAAUGUUUUGAAUGAUGGUUUUACGUAGGAUCGCUAGAUGGCUUUUACUAACGUGGUUCUUGUUCUUCGGCUUGUAUUUAUUCGCAUUAAAUGUAGAGUAAUUUGU